UCUACAUGUCGCUUUCUAUCGAUAUUUGAAUAUCAAAAUAUAUGAAUUUUUAGCUUUAAUUGAAUUAUUUUCUAGUUUUGCUCUAGUUUAUCAAUUAGAGUAUAACCUAGCAAAACUAGAAAAUAAUUCAAUUAAAGCUAAAAAUUCAAAUAUUUUGAUAUUCAAAUAUCGAUAGAAAGCGACAUGUAGAUAUCUACAGUGCACGGAAUCUAGGCCCUGGCCCCGGUUAAUAGAUUAGGGCGUAGGUUGUCUCAUAACUGUAGACCAAUCAAAGGCUGGCUUUUUAAAGGCGGGAAUACGUCAUCCGUACGACAAUUUUAAAAUUGUCAUAAGAGUCAAUGCUAAUAAAAGGUUCAAAAACUUAGGUUUUGCAAUAUAUUUUGAGAUUUUCUUGGGUAUAGGUAUAUUAAGUGGUUCUUAUAUUGGUAAUUAUAUCAAUUUUUCCCUUAAAAAUCAAUAGUCUGCUAACAAAAAACUAGAAUUCAUUUAACACUUAUUAUGUGUGUUUUAAAUGGAGAAAACAAUUUAAUUAGCACAAAAAUCCAAAAAAAUAGAAGAAAAAGUUUAAAAUCAAAAAUAGUAAUAUGUAGGUACUUACUUAUUGUGUUUUUCGUGGAAUGUGCAGCACUUUUAUCAUUUUUGGUGGUAUGCAACAACAAAAGAACGAAUAAUAUAAAUAAUUUAUUAUUAGGUUAAAAUAUAAAAAAGAUGUAACAUAUUCAGACACGAGGAAAUGUUUGCUACCUAUUUUCUUAUGUUUAGAGGCCCAUUUAUCUUGUAACAUUUUAUUAUCCAUUAUUGUUUGAUAAUGUUAAGGUAUUUGGGAAAUGUCCCAAAAACAUUAUUUUGUUUCCAUCUGGUUCAGGAAUUUUGGAGUUGCUUUUACAUAUUGGCUCCGUGCGUCUCCCCUCUACUUACAGUCACGUGACACGCUGUCAGAUUUUGUAAGGACGUUUUAACAUUGAGUCUUAUGGGAUUAUUUUGUUAAACUUGAAUAUUUUAUUUUGUAGUGAUAAUAACCGAAAAAAAUUGUUAGAAUUCAUUAGUUAUUAAUUUAUACUGUAAUUUAUAGUGCAACAAAAAUAUUUUCUUUUGCGUUAAUAAAGAUUUAUUGACAUAAACUGCGAUAGUGAGGUUAUGUAUACAAAAUCGAACUGAUAAUCAAUAUUGGAAAGUGAAGAAUUUAUAUCAGAUUAAGUGCGUUUUUAGUUUCUGUUUAUAUUAAUACAUAAUAUCACUAGCGUGACAGGGCAUUUUUUUUAAAUGUCUCAUUUAAACAUACACAAAGCGUCCUUAUAAAAUUUCAAAAAUCCGCCACCAUGAGCAGGUCGGUCGAUUUUGCUUUGACACUUUGUUAACGCUCGGGGCGAAUAGCUAUGCUACAAAUGUUACCACCACUCAUCUAAAAAAUGUUUUAUUAUUAUAACAUACAAAACUACUAUUAUUAUGUGUAAUAUUAUAAUUUUUAAACUAACUUAUUAAUAUUGUCCUUAUAUGCUUAAAAACUCAACAAAUAUUAAACAAAUAAACGAUAUUAUCAUAGAAAAAAGUGUUGUGUGAUUUGGUAGAAUGCGAUCUUACCCUUCAAAAAAUAUGUCACGUAUUUCAGCACCUGGAAAAUUGGAAGGAUACUACAAAUCUGGCCUCCACAUAAGUGGUCUGUAGCUUCGACAUGAUAGGUGUGAAAUUUUAAACGUUCUUGCUGUUGAUUGGAUAGGAAGGGUAGCGUUAUCUAGCCUCCACGCUAGGUACACCAUAGCCUCCAUACGGUACUUCCAAUAUUUAAUAUUAUUUUAUUCAAGUGGACAAUAAAGGUAAAACACAAGCAACUUUUGUUUCUUAAUUAUUUAUUUAUACAAUAAUGUGACAUUUUACAUAGAAAUAUGAGUAUUUAAUUUUGAUUAAAUAUAUGUUUACUUGUUGAAUUUAUCGGCUGCACACAACAGCUGAUCGGCCAUUAGACCCAACAACAAAACGUGAAAUAAAAUGUGUAUUUUAAAACUGUUGGAUAAACAGUACCUACAAUCAGAAAAACUUACCUUUAAAAAGGUACUCGAUUAUGAAAUAACAAAAAUAUCAAAAAACACGACUGAAUAUCAGCUUUUUAUGGUGACACAAACUAAACACAAACACCAAACACAUCACAUAACCGACCAUAUAAAAUAAGUGAACGACAACGAACGAACGAACACAGAUUACAGAUUCACCCUAGAAUAUAAAAGAAUUCACAGAUAGCGUAGGAUUUGUCAAAAGUCAUGUUCCACCAAUCACAAUGCCGACAUCAGCGCCUCUGACUAAACGGAAGGAAAAUAAAUACGAUUACAUGUUUUGGGAGAGAUUAAGGGCCGGUACUUUAUGUCCCGGUUAAACCUCGGUUAGCUAACCGGGGUUUAAUCGGGACAGAAAAGUACCUCAUAGAGCCUCUUGCGUUGUAAUAAAAGCAAUUAUAAUUAUUAUUAUAAUUAUUUAUGAAUAUAAUAAUAAGUAUAAUUGCGUUUAUGUCUAUGUUAUGCAUAUAUUUCUGUCCCGAUUAAACCCCGGUUAACUAACCGGCUGUUAACGGAGACAUAAGGUUUGUUCCAACAUGAACUUUUGGACGGUCCAGAAACCGUCACGAAACUACUUGUACCGUUUGUUGUGCGCAUGUUCGUAAUUGUAUCGCCCAGUUAUCGUCCCAUGACGGUAAUCAUAUAUUUGUCAUUUUUAUUGGUGACAGCUUGUGUGCUUUUAGUCGAUCAAAGGCUCAAAAACUUUAAAGAAUUAAGUCCUAGUGUGCAAGUCAGUCCAACCAGCACAUUUAUGCAUUUGCCCGAUUACUGAAAUGAUCAUCACGAAACCGUCACCGAAAGAUCACAAUUCUUGUUGGAACAGUGGGAAGGACGAUCCGAUGACGAUCAUAUUUUUGUUGGAACGGAUUUUGUUUACUGCGCAGGAGCAUUACCGUUUCGUGACGGUUCUCGGUCGUGUUGGAACAAACCUAUAAAGUACCGGCCCUAAAUGUCCAGCAAACGACGGCAAUGUUGCCAGAUUCCUUUUAGCGGGAAUUUUAAAAUUUUAUAGCAGUUUGGUUUUAAAUUUGACAGUUCUGUUUUCUCAAGUCAAAAAUCUUAACCUUACUUUUACAAUUGAUUAAGAUUAUUAUUAUUUUCCGCAAAUCGCCAGGAAAUUUUGACAUUCCUGUCAAAAUUUCUUGAAGAAAAAGUCAGGACUUCCUUACUGUAAGGAAAUGUCAUUUCCUUACUGUAAGGAAAUGAUAUUUCCGUACAGUUGUUAGUGUUCUACAUAAAUGAUAGAAAAAACUACAAAAAACCUCAAUACGUUUCCAUAGUAACCCAAGUAAUUUUAUUAGGAAUUUCAAAGCACCAUUUAUUUGGGAAUAAAAUUAUCGCGUUUUUUUUAAAUCAAUCAAUAUCUGUCGAAUUUUAAACGAUUUGCGGAAAAAUAGUAUGUUUACCUCGUAGGAAAAGCCACAUUCCUGGACUCUGUGUUGCUAAGUCUCGGCUUGCGCCUCGACUUAGCAAUCUUCACAGUCGUCCAGGAAUGUUAAGCUUUUCCUACCCGGUAAACAAUGUACUAUUUAUUUACACGUAAAUUGAAACAAUAAAUAUUGUGCUUUGUCAUAAUUUAAAACUCAUUAUGUUGAAGUCUUUUCCAGUUGAUAAAAUUGCAAUUCAAAAACUUUUAGGUAGAUUUGCACUGUAUGGAUGGCACAGGAAGAGAACAGAGAACAAGAGUACAAGAACAUGAAACAUCUUAUUAUGAAUGUAUAUGUAUGUGAUCCUCAAAAAAUUAUUUUUCAAAACAAGAUAGAGAAAGAGCUUUAAAAUCCCAAGGAUCCUGCAAAAUGUUUAUUUGGUGUACUAGUCGAAUAAUAGUAUCUAAAAAUAUUGAAACUGUUUUAAAACACAUUAUAGGCAUGAGGAUGGUAUAGAGCACUUACAUAAAUACCAAAAUCAGAUAAAUAUCUCUUCAAAGUUUAUUUUGAGACUUUCUUCAAAAAUUAAACUUCAGACUGUUCAGGAUAGCAUAAUAGCAUAGGAGGCGAAUUAAAAAGAAUUAAUUUACUUACAAGAAAAGAUAUCACAAACAUUAAACUCUCUUAUGGCAUUGAUUUGAAAGAUGGGUAUAUGUACAAGGAUGAUGCAACCAGUGUUUAUUUUUGGGUUGAAUGCUUACAGACUCAUGUCCAAUAUUAUUUUACAAACAACAGAGCAUACUAAUGGAUAUUCAUUCUGAAUUUAACAUUUAUGAUUUUUGUCUUAUUUUCCUUAAUACUGUGCCAAAAGGAAAUGUUAAUUAAGUUUGGCAAAUCCUUUAUCGCAAUCGAUGGAACUCAUGGGCUCAUUUCCUAUGACUUUGAACUUAUGACAGUAUUAGUAAAAGAUGAAUUUGGGAAUAGAUUUUGUACUGCUUUCUUAUUUUCAAAUAGAAAAGAUACCUACUUUAAUUUACCAAUUUUUUUAAAUACAUGUCUGUGUUGGUAUUAUAUGUAUAGUCAAAUGUUUUCAUAUCAGGCAUAAGUGACACCUUUUACAAUGCCUCGUCAAAUGUAAUGGGUAUUGCUCCUAAUAGACUGUUAAGUGCCUGGCACAUAGAUAGGGCAUGGUAAGUAAAUCUUAAUAAAAUAUCUGAUUCUGAAAAAAAUCCUAUUAUAUAUACAAGAUGUAUUAAUGAUGGUUCAGAGAGUAUUAAUAGCUUUUUGGGUAGACUUCUAAGUGAUGCAGAUACAUACAAUUUUAAUAAGUAUUUCCAGUAGAACUACUGCAAUAACAUCCAACAAUGGGCCUAUUGUUAUAGGAAGGGGUUGUGGAAUUAAUACCAAUAUGACCAUUCAAAAUUUUCAUAAAAUUUUGGAUAAAAGGGUAUCCAUUAGUUGUUAUCAGUUAAGUUUAAAACUUGGCACUCAUGGAGAGCUAUACUCUAUACCAUAAUAUAUAAUAGGUAUAUCUCAUAAUAUUACAUCUCAUUAAUCUCAUAUUGUUCACUCCAGUAGUAAGAAGUGAGCCUGCAUACACAGAACCAUAAUAAUAUAUUAUAGUUUGUGUAUGCAGGCUCACUCAUUACAAUAGUGAGCAAUAGAAGAUAUAACAUAUUAUAGUAUAAGUCUCUGUGCAUGACUAGAUUAACAUGUUUGGUGCCCAUCUCGAACAAGCUCCACUUGGCUGGUACCACAUACUUAAAUCAUUUACUUAGUUACACAGUACUACUCACAUAACUUAUGUGUCGUCAGUACCUUCCAUAAAACCUUCGUGAUGCUACUCAUACUUCAUGGCCACUGAAUGUGUUAAAGCUUGUUAAUGUAGGAGAGUUAUACUAAAAUAUAUAUCUUAUAUUAUAUUGCCUUAAAUAGAAAAAAUAUCUUAUUUAAAUUGUAUCCAUGUAAGUUUUGAUUUAAUGAAAUAAACCUUUUAAUCAAAAAAGUGUUGUUUAUUUGUGUACACCUAGCAAUAUCCUGAUCAUAGAUAAAUAAUAUAGUAUUAUCGGAUCCUGAUAUGCAGACGCCAAUAGGGCUUUUCAUCGAUUGUCAUUUGUU